GAAGCCUUUCUCGCAAAGGUCCAAGCUGUUGGUCUCAUUACUAGCCCUCUGUUCAGGAACAGUCUUGCUGCCAUUCUUCAAAUUGUCCUUAUUCCUUGAGAUCUUCUAGUUCUGGUCGUUCUUCUAAUCGUUCACUCAGAGCCCAGUCCAAAGACUAAGUCGAA